rnacentral:rRNA from 1 species
UACGAAGGGGGCUAGCGUUGCUCGGAAUUACUGGGCGUAAAGGGCGCGUAGGCGGAUACUUAAGUCGGGGGUGAAAGCCCGGGGCUCAACCUCGGAAUUGCCUUCGAUACUGGGUAUCUUGAGUUCGGGAGAGGUGAGUGGAAUGCCGAGUGUAGAGGUGAAAUUCGUAGAUAUUCGGCGGAACACCAGUGGCGAAGGCGGCUCACUGGUCCAUAACUGACGCUGAGGCACGAAAGCGUGGGGAGCAAACAGG